UAUAGAUGGAGUAAUAAUUAUAGUUGUCUCAUCUCAAUAGUAUGGUAGGUAAUAGGUAUAUAUGGAGUAAUAAUUAUAGUUUUUCUUCCUAUGACCUUGAGACUCACAGUUUAUCAUUUAAAGUUUAUUUAAUAUAAUUUGCUUCAAAACUAUUAUGAUAUUCACGUGUACUUCAUAUGUAGGACUAGUACAUUUUUCUUUUUCAUUCAUAUCUCUUGUUUUCAUUUUCUUCUUUCUCUCACUCACAAUUGCU
rnacentral:lncRNA from 1 species